GGAAAUAUAGCUCAGUUGGUAGAGUGCUUGCCUUGCAAGCACAAGGCCCUGGGUUCAAUCCCCGGCACCA
rnacentral:tRNA from 1 species